UGCUGACAUGAAGAACAUUUUCUCUAUGUUAUCUUAUGGCACAGCUGUCAGAGGUUACUCAGUAACAGCCAAUAUAAGGCUGUCAUAUAUUUUUGAAGAUGUACAAUACAGAAAAGGAUGUGUUCCUACAAAAACACAUGUAGUCCAAAUAUGUUAUCAGCUUGCUUACUUGAAAUUAAUGGGUACACGUAUCCCAGCAAACCAUAGAUUUGGCCUCUUAUCUACCGAUGUAAUAACAUUUACAGAACUUGAUGCACCUUGAAGGGAUUUCUAAGGCAGCUUGCUAUCUAAAUGCAGCUAACCUGCGCUCCACUAUGCUAUCAAAAAUGAACCUAACCAUUCAUAAAUGAGUCAAAUUCUUCAGAAUUGCACACAUGCUGUUUUCACAGACAUCUUAAAUUUCUGUCACUUCAUCUUGUUUCCCUGAGAGCAUUUAAAGUUUCAUCUGGCUGUCAAGAAAGGAAUAUGGGACAACUGAGAUCUGAGUUAGCAACUGAAUAUUAGAUUUUGAAAUCCUACUCAAGGCAAAUGCAAAAAGUUGUGUGCUCUCAGGACUUCAUCAACUACUGUAACAGCAAUUACCUCCUCUAAAUUUUCCCAAAUGGCAACUGGGAUUUUCAUGAAAUUCUUCAACUCCAGUGCUAUGGUUUUGAGAAAAACAAACAGAAAAAAGCACACACACUCCUAAUUAAUGAGAAAAAUCCCACUAUAUUGCCUUUGCCUCUCCUGUGAUUUUCUUCUGAAGGAUAACAUGACAUUUUGCUAUUCUGCGGUGCUCUUUGAUGGUUGAUUUGGUCCCACCAAAGGAGGAGUGCAAAUGCUGAGAACCAGCAGAAGAGCUCCCCUUCAGAUAUUGAAAGGCCGCUCUCAGGUCUCCCCUUCCUUGUUACAGCUCCCCUUCAGAUAUUGAAAGGCCGCUCUCAGGUCUACCCGAGGCCUUCUCUUCUCCAGGCUGAACAGCCCCAGCUCUCUCAGCCUGUCCUUGCAGGGAGGUGUU